AUGAACGCUGGCGGCGUGCCUAAUACAUGCAGGUCGAGCGAACAGAUAAGGAGCUUGCUCCUUUGACGUUAGCGGCGGACGGGUGAGUAACACGUGGGUAACCUACCUAUAAGACUGGGAUAACUUCGGGAAACCGGAGCUAAUACCGGAUAACAUUUGGAACCGCAUGGUUCUAAAGUGAAAGAUGGUUUUGCUAUCACUUAUAGAUGGACCCGCGCCGUAUUAGCUAGUUGGUAAGGUAACGGCUUACCAAGGCAACGAUACGUAGCCGACCUGAGAGGGUGAUCGGCCACACUGGAACUGAGACACGGUCCAGACUCCUACGGGAGGCAGCAGUAGGGAAUCUUCCGCAAUGGGCGAAAGCCUGACGGAGCAACGCCGCGUGAGUGAUGAAGGGUUUCGGCUCGUAAAACUCUGUUAUUAGGGAAGAACAAACGUGUAAGUAACUGUGCACGUCUUGACGGUACCUAAUCAGAAAGCCACGGCUAACUACGUG
rnacentral:rRNA from 1 species